rnacentral:rRNA from 1 species
GACAGAGGGUGCAAACGUUGUUCGGAAUUACUGGGCGUAAAGCGAGUGUAGGCGGUUCGAUAAGUCGGAUGUGAAAGCCCCGGGCUCAACCCGGGAAGUGCACUCGAUACUGUCGAGCUAGAGUAUCGGAGAGGUUGGUGGAAUUCUCGGUGUAGAGGUGAAAUUCGUAGAUAUUCGCAGGAACACCAGUGGCGAAGGCGGCUCACUGGCUCGAUACUGACGCUGAGGUGCGAAAGCGUGGGGAGCAAACAGG